rnacentral:rRNA from 4 species
CUGAAAGCAUCUAAGCGGGAAGCGAGCCCUGAGAUGAGUCAUCCCUGACCCCUUGAGGGUCCUAAAGGGCCGUUGGAGACCACAACGUUGAUAGGUGGGGUGUGUAAGCGCGGCGACGUGUUGAGCUAACCCAUACUAAUUACCCGUGAGGCUUAACCAU